rnacentral:rRNA from 1 species
GAUGAACGCUGGCGGCGUGCCUAAUACAUGCAAGUCGAGCGAACAGACGAGGAGCUUGCUCCUUUGACGUUAGCGGCGGACGGGUGAGUAACACGUAGAUAACCUACCUAUAAGACUGGGAUAACUUCGGGAAACCGGAGCUAAUACCGGAUAAUAUAUUGAACCGCAUGGUUCGAUAGUGAAAGAUGGCUUUGCUAUCACUUAUAGAUGGACCUGCGCCGUAUUAGCUAGUUGGUAAGGUAACGGCUUACCAAGGCAACGAUACGUAGCCGACCUGAGAGGGUGAUCGGCCACACUGGAACUGAGACACGGUCCAGACUCCUACGGGAGGCAGCAGUAGGGAAUCUUCCGCAAUGGGCGAAAGCCUGACGGAGCAACGCCGCGUGAGUGAUGAAGGUCUUCGGAUCGUAAAACUCUGUUAUUAGGGAAGAACAAACGUGUAAGUAACUGUGCACGUCUUGACGGUACCUAAUCAGAAAGCCACGGCUAACUACGUG